rnacentral:rRNA from 1 species
GGAAGGAUCAUUAACGAAAGCUAGGGCGAGGUUGUAGCUGGCUUCCCCCUCGGGGGUCGCGACGUGCACGCCUCGUCUUUGUCUCUCACAACACACCUGUGCACCUCUGCGUGGGUCACGAGCGUUCACUCGUUCGGGGCUCGCGUCCUUUUGACACAACACACCCUUCGCAUGUCAUCGGAACGCUUCGUUCGCCGUGGUGGCGAAUAGAACUUGUACAACUUUCAACAACGGAUCUCUUGGCUCUCGCAUCGAUGAAGAACGCAGCGAAAUGCGAUAAGUAAUGUGAAUUGCAGAAUUCAGUGAAUCAUCGAAUCUUUGAACGCACCUUGCGCCUCUUGGUAUUCCGAGGGGCACGCCUGUUUGAGUAUCGUGAAAUCCUCAACCCGACUCCCUUUUCCUUUUUGGAGAGAGGAGAAGGGCUUGGACUUUGGAGGUCUUGCCGGUCCCUUUGUCUGGACCUGGCUCCUCUUGAAUGCAUUAGUGGAGCUCGUCUGCUCUCUCUGCCUCUCGGUGUGAUAAACCUGAUCUGCGCCGACGUGUGUGAGGGAGGAAGAAGCGCCGCUUCUAACCGGGUCUCACCUUCACCUUUCUCGGUCACACGAGAGGGAGUGUCGCGUGUUGCUUUUAGAACCCACGGAUCUCAAAUCAGGCGGGACUACCCGCUGAACUUAAGCAUAUCAAUAAGCGGAGGAAAAGAAACUAACCAGGAUUCCCCUAGUAACUGCGAGUGAAGCGGGAAAAGCUCAAAUUUGAAAUCUGGCGGUCUU